CCGCGCGCACCCCCCCAGCACCGCUGUGAGGCCCAUGCUCCACGCCCCAUGGAGGGCGGAUGACGUACCACGCCUUCCGCGUCAAGCUGAGGAGACUGAAGCACAGAGAAGUCAACUGGCUUGCCCAAGGUCAUAGGGUUGAGAAAGGGGACUGAUUGCAAAGUCCAGCUAGAGCAAGAACUAAAAGCUAUCAUUUGUUUGAACUGUGGUUGUUUUGAACAGAGGCUGCGGCGCCUGGCUGAUAGCAAAGAUUCAGUCUGUUUUUGCAUCCUCCUCUUUGGCCAUGUCCUUCGAGGCUCUGAGGUUCAAAGAUGAAAGACGCCCAUGGCCUGGAGUGGAAGAUGUGGAGUUGGGGCAAACACGUCUUCAGUCCCCCAGCCUGGCCUCCACGUGACCCUCACUGCCCUGUCAUAAUCACGAUGCCUGUCAUCGCUGACCCUGUGUGGAGUGUUGUGUACCAGGCACUGUCUUGUGUACGAGACGUCCAGUAAUCAGUGGCACAAUGGUGAGUGUUUAACAAUCAGCAUCUGGGGAAAUCCCUGAUCCGCAGCAUUUUCCAAUCUCCGUGAUAUGGAUAUUUCCACCUCCACCACGGCUGAUUCAAGCUAUCAACAUGGUGUCAUUGGCUGCGACUUGGGAAAAGACUUGCAGAACUGGUUCUCAUAGGUGGCUCCAGAACACUAAUAAUUGACAACUCACACAGCCUGGUGUUAUGGAACUAAGGCCCAGAGCAGGGCCGCAUCCAGCACCAACUAGAUGAUAGCCUCUUCAAAGGCAAGGAGCCCAGCACGAAGUAUUAGUACAGGCACAUACUAAGUGACCAGUGAAUAUCUGAAGAGCUGAACUGAAUGCUUUGAUUUCAGUUGAAUAAACCACCUUGUCCAAGGAACAAGGGGACUGCUAGCAGGGACCACAGCUGCAACCCAUGACCCUCAGCUUUCGGGGAUAAUGCUGUAAGUAUGCAUUUCAGGGUGAAUUCUGAGGAUUGCCCCAUCCAAGAAAGGAGGUGGACUGUCCUGUUCACUCUUGGGAAGGGCGCAGAGGGGCUAUGGAUUCACACGUUGCAUUGUCAAUGCCCCUUUCUUUUGCUAUCACCAUCUAGAGAAGUGUGACCCAACACCAGUGUGUUGGGGACUGGAUAAGACCAAGAGCACCAAAGGUGACACUGUGGAGCACCUCACAGUUUUCAAAGUUUUUUCCCUUGCAUGAUAUUAGUGUUUCCCAAGGUCUGGGAGCAUUCCACUGGGGGCAACCAGUAUGACUUCAGGGGUCAUGACCCUUGUAAGAUGUUGAUACUUAGACAUUUACUUUGAUAUGUUGGAUUCAGUGAGACCAAGAAAUGACAAUGGAAUGUUUCUUGAGAUAAAAGCGUUUAUACCCAGGUUUAUUCCCAUAGCGUAGGUUGAGCACUAGAAUCAUGUCUGCAUACAGCUGUCAGCAGGUCCAUAACCCACCUCCACUUCUGUCUCUGUCCAGACCACUGGGCAGAGCUCUUUAUAUAGUGACUGAGUCACUAAUAGCUCAUUGCCUACGGGUGUGGGAGCAGUAGCCUAGCAGAAGGCCAGUUACAUCAUCAAAUAGUUUAGAGUCAGGUGAGGAUCCUGGCCAUGGGAACUUCCAUUUUCCCCACAUAUGUAUUCAAAAGUAUUUCUAGCACAUUAUGUCAGUUAGGAAUAGGUUUAACUGCAUUUAAAGACAACAAUAAAGC